ensembl:lincRNA Gm38413 predicted gene, 38413
GGGGCAUGCGCCAGGCCACCGAGGGUGCUGGCCACAGAUCUUGUCUGGAGAAUAAAAGGAACAGCCAGAUUGCGUUCGGGAGGCAUCUUCUUCCUUUCACAUCCCUGAGAGCGUCUGUUUUGCCUGCGACAGAAAGUCAAGCCUCAGCUGAGGACCUUCUGUGUGAUGCUCUGAUUUCUUUGCUAAGUAGUCUGAUUUUUCCCCCCAGUAAUUUCUAUUUUUAUUCACAAUGACUCUCAAUUGGUGAGAAAAUGAUGAUCACAUAAUCUCUCUUCCUCGAAGCUGCCGAAUGAUUAGCCUCAUUGCUGCGCGUUCCACUCCACGGCCCGGAAAUGACGCCCCUCUCCAACUCCGGCUAAGCAUGUCAGCUAGAUGGGUUUGACCUUUUCCUGGAAAACAAGGGAGAUGAGAACACGUGAUGUGUGCGCAAACUGAUGCUCAAAUGGGCUAUUUUAGCCAACACUUCAAGAUACAUGCUUCGCUAAACUGGCUGAGAACACACCGGAGCGUUUCCACUGAGGGCUUUUUAAGGCAUUUAAGAGUCUUGCUCUCUUCAAAAGUAAAGGUAUGACAGAAGAUGGCCUGCAGGAGCCGGUUCUCUCAUCCACCAUGUGGUUACUGGGGGAUCAAAUUCAGAUUGGCAGGCUUGAUGGUACCCUCGGCUUGUUUACACCCUGGAUGAUAAGAAUAAGAAGCUCCGGAUGUGGUGUCAAGAACUUCAGUGCCGCCUCUGUCGUCUGGAUCCCGGGUGAUUGAGAGACUGCAGGAAUUUUUAGAGAUAUGGACCUUAUGAUCCCUUGAGGUACUUUACAAUCUAGCUUAUAACCUGCUUGAGUUCCUGUCCUGACUUCCUUCAGUGAUGAGUAAUGCCAUGAAAGUGUAAACCCAACAAACCUUCUCUUCUGUAAGUUGCUUUUGGUCAUGGCGUCUCAUCUCAUCAACAGUAACCCUAACUAAGACGUGUGUCGUGUGAGGAAAUGAAUAUUUUCAAAGGGACUCUGAGGAAUGUUCCCAUGAAUCCUGUCUACCCAGAUUGCAACUUGAAUACCAGAACACAUUGUUUGAAUACAUAAUUCAAGGUCAACAAGAAGGUGUUCCAUUGUAUGAUUUAGUCAUGAGCCACCGCUUGGAGCAUCAUCUUUCUGCCAUUAAUGAGUCGCCUUCUACAGCAGCAGGAUUUGGAAACCUUUGAACUGUUUAGAGGAGAGCCUUUGGACUGCAUUCACCAAGCAAGAAUCAAGAAGCUCCUUCAUCGUAAGGCUGAAGCUGAUGCAGUUUUCCUGAACUUCUUUUUUUCUGCCUUUGAGAGCAAUUAGCAGUGGGUUAGUCUUCAGUAACUAUAGCUCACGGAGGGGCCAAAGGGUCUCUCAAUGGAUCUGGGGCUAGGCUGGCCGCCAGAAAACCCCGGGAAUCCUCCAGCACUCACCUGCUUUCGGCACUGGGGUUAUAGGUACACAUGGCCACACGGAGCUUUUCCUCUCAAAGAUCAGCGAGAUAAUUUGCAAGCAAAAUCUCAGCGCUGAGAGACAGGUUAGAGAAGGAUGUAGAAACCCUACAGGCUGGGCACUGAGUUGGUGAUCGAAUGGAAAAGGUAUAAACUCUCAGGGGACUUAGACCCAGGCCCCGAUGUAGGGAGUUACUGGGUAAAGCUAAGCAAAAGCAAUUAGUGUGUGUGUGUGUGUGUGUGUGUGUGUGUGUGUGUAAGCACACACUUAUGAACUGGGGCAUUUUGGGUUCAUCUAGAUGAUCUUAAGAAUAUGUUUUCUUUGAUGUAAAUUGAUAUCUAGCAGCCAGUGACGGAAAACGUCUCCUCCAUACUCAGCUUUGUCACCCAACCUCUUGUGAAGACAGGAUGGAGCCCAGAGAGAGGCCUCCUGCUGACUCCUUGUGCAAAGAGAGGAAACAAGGGUCAAUGCUAACAAGUGAAACACUGGCUUAAAAUAUGGAUCUGCUCUCUAUCAAAUGCUUGUGCAGUCUUUAAAGGAAAGGAGGCAGAGGAGACAUCAAAGAGGAGAGGAUCUGGGAGGAUGGAGUCUAGAUCACAAGGGAACAUACAGCCAGAAGCCAGAGAGCUUUGAAUCUUUGAAGGACAGAAACCCCAUUGCUGUUGGAAGAUGGAGAAGGUGACAAGAAGAAGCACAGGCAGCCGGAAUAUGUCAUGGCUUUUAAAAAUAUUUAUUUAUAGGAAAACUAUAAACCCAUGUUUAAAUAAACUCUGUUCUUGGUCAGCUUUUC